rnacentral:rRNA from 1 species
GCUUGCUUCUCUUGAGAGCGGCGGACGGGUGAGUAAUGCCUAGGAAUCUGCCUGGUAGUGGGGGAUAACGUCCGGAAACGGACGCUAAUACCGCAUACGUCCUACGGGAGAAAGCAGGGGACCUUCGGGCCUUGCGCUAUCAGAUGAGCCUAGGUCGGAUUAGCUAGUUGGUGGGGUAAUGGCUCACCAAGGCGACGAUCCGUAACUGGUCUGAGAGGAUGAUCAGUCACACUGGAACUGAGACACGGUCCAGACUCCUACGGGAGGCAGCAGUGGGGAAUAUUGGACAAUGGGCGAAAGCCUGAUCCAGCCAUGCCGCGUGUGUGAAGAAGGUCUUCGGAUUGUAAAGCACUUUAAGUUGGGAGGAAGGGCAGUAAAUUAAUACUUUGCUGUUUUGACGUUACCGACAGAAUAAGCACCGGUUAACUCUGUGCCAGCAGCCGCGGUAAUACAGAGGGUGCAAGCGUUAAUCGGAAUUACUGGGCGUAAAGCGCGCGUAGGUGGUUCGUUAAGUUGGAUGUGAAAUCCCCGGGCUCAACCUGGGAACUGCAUUCAAAACUGACGAGCUAGAGUAUGGUAGAGGGUGGUGGAAUUUCCUGUGUAGCGGUGAAAUGCGUAGAUAUAGGAAGGAACACCAGUGGCGAAAGCGACCACCUGGACUGAUACUGACACUG